CCCCUUACAAGCUGAUAGGCUGUGUUAGUACCACCCUUUGCCUAUAAAAUAAAGCUUCUGUGUUUUUUCUUUCCUUUCUCACAGCACUCACUCUGCCUAGCAGGGUGGGUGGCCUGAUUGCGAAAUUUAUUUUUCACUUUUUCAGGGCUCCAUAUCUGGCAUGGAGUUCCAACUUCUUAACAUCUUUCAGCUUUGCAUUUUUUCUUAGUUGUGAUGGAGGAGUAGGAGUCUUUUUGCCACCUCCAAGGGUGGAACACCAGGGGUCUAGUACUACUGGUGCACAGAACCAGUAUUCGGAAUGGUCUCAAAAGAGAUGGAUGUCAUCCUAGAAUGAUGAGGAGGGUUCUCGAAUCAACGCACCAAAACAGCAGACAACGAAGCAAACACAAAAAAAAACGAAGCUUUCUAUUUAUUUUUCGGGAAUUAUGCAACAAUUUUCCUUAAAGCAAACACAAAACAAACAAAAUUUCCAAUUCCCUUAUUGUUGCGUAAUCCCUGAUCCCCUGACCUUUGGGUCAUAUGCUUCCGGCAGUCUGUGUUGCUUGGUUCGGUGGGUCGAGGGGUUACCCUACCGGUAAAACUGGAAAAGAAAACAUCCCUGCAUUUUUUCAUAAGGCAGUGCAACAUGAUUUCAAUUAUUGUCAAAGAAAAACAAAAUAAAAAUGGCAAAAUUCAAAUGUGAAAA